rnacentral:rRNA from 1 species
UACGUAGGGUGCGAGCGUUGUCCGGAAUUAUUGGGCGUAAAGAGCUUGUAGGCGGUUUGUCGCGUCUGCUGUGAAAUUUCGGGGCUCAACCCCGAACUUGCAGUGGGUACGGGCAGACUAGAGUGUGGUAGGGGAGACUGGAAUUCCUGGUGCAGCGGUGAAAUGCGCAGAUAUCAGGAGGAACACCGAUGGCGAAGGCAGGUCUCUGGGCCACUACUGACGCUGAGAAGCGAAAGCAUGGGGAGCGAACAGG